AUGAGGCUGGGCCGGUGCCCCGGCUGCCGGGGAGCGGCGGGGGGCGGGUCGGGGGAAGGGCAGGGGCGGGCGCGGGCGGUGGCGGCGAUACGCGGCGGCGAUAGGCUGCGGCCACUGCGGAGCGCCGAAAUGGUGCUGCUGGCGCUGGGUGCCGCGAUGCCCUGGCGGGCGCUUCCUGUUCCGCCGCCUUCUCCUCCUUCUCCUGACGCGGAGGGCCCGCCGCGCCCUGCCCGGCUACCUCUGCCGCCGGCUGCAGUUUAACGGGCCGGCGUUGAGAGGUCGCGUCUGCGCGCGUGGAAUCUCCACAUGGGCACGGCGAGGGGCGGUGAAGUGCAGAGCUGCGAACAGCCGGAGCAGGGGCCGUGACCCCACUGUGCUCCACGGAGCGCACGGAACGGCGGCAGCAUGGGUUUGGUUCCAGUGCUUUAAGUAUGGAAAUGAGCAUAAGGAAGGAAGAAAGCCCUAUGAAUGGAACAGAAUUGCAUAACCACUCUCUUCUGUAUGUUUCAAAACUACGCAGUUAUUUUUCACUCGAUUGGAGUUAACUUAGCCCUUGUUAAUGCUCCAGACAACCUCUCUGAGGGCACUGGGAAGAACUUGCAAGUGAACAUGGUUUUGUGCCAGUCCUGGCAUGGCCAGAUAACAGUUUUGGCCUGUUUGCAGACUCCCACUUCACUCUUCUGCUCUCCUUUUCAUGUUCUCCAUCACCGUCCCACCUGACAAAAUACCUUCCCUUUAGUGAAUAUUUUCAGUUGCUUUUCCUGGGAUUCAAACCCUCAACUUCCUGACUAUGGAAAAAGAAAACAAGCGAACUCUACUGUGUAACUGUGCUCAUCUUUGCAUUGAUGUGUCUGAUAACAAGCAGAUGGCUGGGGAGGGUAUAAAAGGGAACAGGAUCCAGAAAACAAGUGACGCAGUAGAAGAAGAUGAAGUCUAGGCAAGCAUGAUGGGCUCCCACAU
rnacentral:lncRNA from 1 species